AACGAACGCUGGCGGCAUGCCUAACACAUGCAAGUCGAACGAGACCUUCGGGUCUAGUGGCGCACGGGAGCGUAACGCGUGGGAACCUGCCCUUAGGUUCGGAAUAACUCCCCGAAAGGGGUGCUAAUACCGGAUAAUGUCUUCGGACCAAAGAUUUAUCGCCUUUGGAUGGGCCCGCGUUGGAUUAGCUAGUUGGUAGGGUAAAAGCCUACCAAGGCGACGAUCCAUAGCUGGUCUGAGAGGAUGAUCAGCCACACUGGGACUGAGACACGGCCCAGACUCCUACGAGAGGCAGCAGUGGGGAAUAUUGGACAAUGGGCGAAAGCCUGAUCCAGCAAUGCCGCGUGAGUGAUGAAGGCCUUAGGGUUGUAAAGCUCUUUUACCCGGGAUGAUAAUGACAGUACCGGGAGAAUAAGCUCCGGCUAACUCCGUG
rnacentral:rRNA from 1 species